AUUGAACGCUGGCGGCAGGCCUAACACAUGCAAGUCGAGCGGAUGAAGGGAGCUUGCUCCUGGAUUCAGCGGCGGACGGGUGAGUAAUGCCUAGGAAUCUGCCUGGUAGUGGGGGAUAACGUCCGGAAACGGGCGCUAAUACCGCAUACGUCCUGAGGGAGAAAGUGGGGGAUCUUCGGGCCUCACGCUAUCAGAUGAGCCUAGGUCGGAUUAGCUAGUUGGUGGGGUAAAGGCCUACCAAGGCGACGAUCCGUAACUGGUCUGAGAGGAUGAUCAGUCACACUGGAACUGAGACACGGUCCAGACUCCUACGGGAGGCAGCAGUGGGGAAUAUUGGACAAUGGGCGAAAGCCUGAUCCAGCCAUGCCGCGUGUGUGAAGAAGGUCUUCGGAUUGUAAAGCACUUUAAGUUGGGAGGAAGGGCAGUAAGUUAAUACCUUGCUGUCUUGACGUUACCAACAGAAUAAGCACCGGCUAACUUCGUG
rnacentral:rRNA from 1 species